GUAAUACAAUAAUAAUCAAUAUAAGACCUUAAAAAA
rnacentral:sRNA from 1 species